AUGAACGCUGGCGGCAGGCCUAACACAUGCAAGUCGAGCGGUAACGCGGGGCAACCUGGCGACGAGCGGCGGACGGGUGAGUAACGCGCAGGAAUCUACCUGGUAGUGGGGGAUAGCCCGGGGAAACUCGGAUUAAUACCGCAUACGCCUUAAGGGGGAAAGCAGGGGAUCGCAAGACCUUGUGCUAUCAGAAGAGCCUG
rnacentral:rRNA from 1 species